rnacentral:lncRNA from 1 species
AAAUCUAAUAGAAUACAAUAGACAACAAGUUUUAAAUCAAUAUUCGCAGCGGAAAUAAUAAUUCAUUAGAAGAGUUAAGUAGAGAAUGCAAACUACUAUCUUCUAUGUAUGAAUUUAAAAGUUCAUCGUCUAUCUUUUAUUCCUGUAACAUCAAUCAAUAUAUAUCUGGAAUCAAAUAUUCAUCUUUGCACUACAGGCCAAAGAUAUUC